rnacentral:snoRNA from 1 species
CUGCAGGUCUUCAGCCUGCCUGGGUCUGGGGUGACUCCUGUGCAUCCCAAGGGUGCUUGUGAGAAGGGUUUGGCAACGGUCUGAGGGCUUUGCUUCUGCAUCAAUUCUGCUGAGCCAG